GUACGGCAGAGUCAGCGCAGAGUUAGUCAGAGAAGCUCACUUUUCCUGCUACCGUACUUGGACUUGGUCCUGUCUGACCUGGUCCUGCUAAAGUUUUACAGAGGUAAGGGUCAUACUUGCACUCGUAAAAGCUCAUUCUGGAGGCAGCAUGGAUGAUGGACUGACAGAAAGACACGGCGUGGAAACAAGAAAGCUUCUGCGAUAACACAGGGGAGAAAUGAUGAGGAACUGAUUUGGAUUUACCUUUCCACUGAAGAAGGCAGAAAUGGGAGCUAAAAACUUUGAGGUCAAGCUGUGGCAUUACCAAUGCUCCCGCAGAUCACAGAAACGUCGGCAAGGCCAGAAUUACCAUUAUCCCUUUCGAGGGGAGGAAACGGAAGCUGGGGUGUUGAGCGGCCCGUCUGAGGCAUUACAGCUGGCAGAUGGGCGCAUCGACAGCCUGACUGCCGCCUCGGUUCCUCAACUCUCAGCCAGAACACCCUAGAGGACGUUCGCCAAUGCAGACACCAACUCCACUGGAGAACCUCGUCAGCCCAAACAUCGGACAGGACAAGCUCAUUCCCGAAAAAAGGAAAAAGCAAGGAAGAAGAAAGUAAGAAACCGCCUGCUUGGCUUGUCUUAGAAGAGCAACAGCCUCAGCUCUGUGAGAAGUGGCCGACACUCCUGACCGGGGCUCGGAUUUCCAGACCCUUCCCUCGCAGCUCACAAGCUUCCCAGACACUCCUCUCCAGCUUUAUUUUCCUCUAUAAGAGUCUUGAAUUCUUCAAAAGACCAUUGGUCCAUCCUUGUCCAAUAAAUGCUCAUUUAAAUUUGAAAACAUCCUUUCAACAAAGCAGCCCUUUACUCCCCAGGUCUGAGGUCUCUUUAGAAUGCGCAGGAUUCGAAAGAAACAGCCACACAGCUCAGUCCCCUUCAUUGGAGCUGGUGAGCAGGGGGGCCUCUCACUGUUCCCCAUCCCGUGUACAACCCGCAGAGGCACCGGCCUUUCCCCAUGCCUUCUAGAGCCCUGUCUAGUGGGGGGUCCUGCGGGGUUCUUAGAACACUUGUGUCUGGUUUGCAAACACAAAGAGCUAUUGAAAAGGUGGAGAAAGUACCAAUAAUAAUAUAGGCCUGGGAUGGGGAGGACUCUAUUGGGUUAUUUUUUUAAUAACACUUUUUUCUCAUUAAAAAAGAAACAGAAAUUAGAGAGACUUUGGGAAUACAGAUAGUAUAAAAGAAUAAAUAGU